UCUAAAUAACUUUCUUAUACUUUAUUUUCUCUUUGAUAUUACAGCCCUCGAGAAGCGGUGUCCAGCUGUGUGUGAAUAUGAAGCUGCAUCACACUGCCUGCAGUCUCCUGCCCAGCUUCACAGUGAAGACACAAAUCUACGGUAUCUCAGCGCACGAUCGCUGCAGAGAGGAUGGCCAUCAGUCAAAGACGUCUCCUUCCUGUGAGGUUAUGAGGCGAGACUCCCCAUGAUGCAAGGUGAAGAAGGAUUCUGGUUUCAACCCCUUCUGUUCCAGGGCCUCUCUGAGACGAAGCGGUGGCUCCAUGUAGUACUGGACAAAGGAGGGACCAGAGGGAAAGAAAAAAAAAAGGACCUGGGCAGGUACGCUCCGAUGGGGAUCGCUGCGAGGUCAAAUGGUCCAAAGCGUCGUCCUAUCUCCUGGAAGGAAGAGCAGUAGCCAGUAUCACCAGCGAAGAAGAAUCGAUGGUCCGGACCCAAAACAGACCAGCUGCCCCAUAAAGACUGAAAGACAGAGAGAGAGAAAGGACAUGUUUUUAUGGACUGAACCUGUUCUGAAUUCAAACAAUUUAAAACUGUUUAAAUUACAAAAAAAGACUUCGAACUGUACAAUCAAUGUAAUUGUCCAAAUAAGCACCAUUAUUAAAGCUGCAGUCUACUCUGUGAUUACAAAUCAUUCUAAUCAAUAAUUACCUUGUUAUCAUCCAGAGCUGUGCGUUUGCUCCAGUGCUGCGAUGGUGUACAGACAAAUGUCACGUCGUCAUGGCCCGGGACACAGUUCUCCUCCCACCAGUCCAGCUCCAUCACAUUCUCACAGCCCAUUUUCACCAACCAGUCCAUCAAACCCAGGGGCACGAACCUACAAACCACACGCUGGUCUUACUUAGUCUUACUAUAAAUGUGGCAGAGUGUGGAUGCCAAUCAAAACAGCAACUACCCAUAAAUUCACCACACGUACCAGCGUAGCUCCCCUCCAAAGCGUGUGUUCAGGCUGGCCACAGAUCCAGAAUCCAGAUGGUCAUAAUGAGAAUGACUGAUGACGACAGCAUCGAUCCUGGGCAGCUGUUGGCAGGAGAAGACAAGAGAAAACAAAGUGCAGGGAGGCCCUCUGUACCUUUUCGGCCCCAUGAACUGGAAAGGCGAGGCCCUCUGGCUGAAGACUGGGUCUGUCAGAAUAUUCAGUCCGUCCAUUUCCACCAGAACUGUGGCGUGACCCAGCCAGGUGACUCUCA